rnacentral:rRNA from 1 species
GACGAAGGGGGCUAGCGUUGUUCGGAAUACUGGGCGUAAAGCGAGUGUAGGUGGUUGUCCAAGUUGGAUGUGAAAGCCUUGAGCUCAACUCAAGAAAUGCAUUCAGGACUGGAUGGCUAGAGGACCGGAGAGGAUAGUGGAAUUCCUGGUGUAGCGGUGAAAUGCGCAGAUAUCAGGAGGAACACCAAUGGCGAAGGCAGCUCGCUGGGACGGUACUGGACGCUGGAGGCGACGAAAGCCGUGGGGAGCAAACAGG